UGACUUUCAGAAUAAAACACAUGAACACAAUUUUAAAUUAUACUUGGUGGUGGAACAAUAGAAACGAAAUAAUCGUGAACUAACCCCAUUCGUAUAUUUAAAUUUAAAAAUACUUAAAAAGGCUUGUC
rfam:Bizionia argentinensis JTB59 contig00040, whole genome shotgun sequence.